AAAAAAUGGAAGUCAUCAACCAAGAUAAUCCAGGGUCUACGGCUUUUAUUAUCAAUGCUUCUGGAAGUCCAAUAACAAAAACCUGUCUCAAUACAGAAGCAGGAAAGGCGGUGAUGUUUCAGGACAGUGUAGACGCGGCCGUGACCUGCUUCCUACCAGUCUGUAUAUCCAAGAACAAGGCUCCAGUGAAGGUUCAGGCUGUAGUUUUCAACACUCAUGUGCUGCUGUUCUCCAAAGAUGUACCGAUUAAACUCUGUCGCUGGGUCGCAGCACAGCUGAAGAACAAUAAGAAAUGAACAUCAAAACCCUACCAAAAUUAAAUAUUUUAUGAGAGUUUAAUUUUUAUACAUUGUCAAAGAAAUACAGGUGCUAGCUUGAAAAGAUCAGAUGUGUUGUUUGCCAAAAUAAUCUGAGAAUUUUAAGAAUUUUCAUUAUUUUUAUGGAAGUAAUAGAUUUAAAAAAUGCUCAUACAAAUAAAUACCAUUAAGAUUUAUUAUUUAUGAACCUGCUGGGCUGAAUUUUUCCCAAUGCAAAUACAUUAAAACUGCACAAGUAAGUUGACCUUGACAUACAUUUAUACUAUACAAGUAAAUUGACCCUGAAAUAUGUUAUACUAUACAGGUAAUUUGACCUUGACAUAUAUUUAUAUUGUACAAGUAAGUUGACCUUGACAUACAUUUAUACUGUACAGGUAAGUUGACCUUGACAUAUAUUUAUACUGUACAGGUAAGUUGACCCGACAUAUGUUUAUACUGUACAGGUAAGUUGACAUUGACAUAUGUUUAUACUGAACAGGUAAGUUGACUAUACUGUACAGGUAAGAUGACCUUGACAUACAUUUAUACUGUACAGGUAAGUUGACUAUACUGUACAGGUAAGUUGACAUUGACAUACAUUUAUACUGUACAGGUAAGUUGACAUUGACAUAUGUUUAUACUGUACAGGUAAGUUGACAUUGACAUAUGUUUAUACUGUACAGGUAAGUUGACCCGACAUAUGUUUAUACUGUACAGGUAAGUUGACAUUGACAUAUGUUUAUACUGAACAGGUAAGUUGACUAUACUGUACAGGUAAGAUGACCUUGACAUACAUUUAUACUGUACAGGUAAGUUGACCUUGACAUAUAUUUAUACUGUACAGGUAAGUUGACCCGACAUAUGUUUAUACUGUACAGGUAAGUUGACAUUGACAUAUGUUUAUACUGAACAGGUAAGUUGACUAUACUGUACAGGUAAGAUGACCUUGACAUACAUUUAUACUGUACAGGUAAGUUGACUAUACUGUACAGGUAAGUUGACAUUGACAUACAUUUAUACUGUACAGGUAAGUUGACAUUGACAUAUGUUUAUACUGUACAGGUAAGUUGACAUUGACAUAUGUUUAUACUGUACAGGUAAGUUGACCCGACAUAUGUUUAUACUGUACAGGUAAGUUGACAUUGACAUAUGUUUAUACUGAACAGGUAAGUUGACUAUACUGUACAGGUAAGAUGACCUUGACAUACAUUUAUACUGUACAGGUAAGUUGACUAUACUGUACAGGUAAGUUGACAUUGACAUACAUUUAUACUGUACA